UAGGGAAUCUUCGGCAAUGGACGGAAGUCUGACCGAGCAACGCCGCGUGAGUGAAGAAGGUUUUCGGAUCGUAAAGCUCUGUUGUAAGAGAAGAACGAGUGUGAGAGUGGAAAGUUCACACUGUGACGGUAUCUUACCAGAAAGGGACGGCUAACUACGUGCCAGCAGCCGCGGUAAUACGUAGGUCCCGAGCGUUGUCCGGAUUUAUUGGGCGUAAAGCGAGCGCAGGCGGUUAGAUAAGUCUGAAGUUAAAGGCUGUGGCUUAACCAUAGUAGGCUUUGGAAACUGUUUAACUUGAGUGCAAGAGGGGAGAGUGGAAUUCCAUGUGUAGCGGUGAAAUGUGUAGAUAUAUGGAGGAACACCGGUGGCGAAAGCGGCUCUCUGGCUUGUAACUGACGCUGAGGCUCGAAAGCGUGGGGAGCAAACAGGAUUAGAUACCCUGGUAGUCCACGCUGUAAACGAUGAGUGCUAGGUGUUAGACCCUUUCCGGGGUUUAGUGCCGUAGCUAACGCAUUAAGCACUCCGCCUGGGGAGUACGACCGCAAGGUUG
rnacentral:rRNA from 1 species